rnacentral:tRNA from 1 species
GCCUGGGUGGCUCAGUCGGUUAAGCGUCCGACUUUGGCUCGGGUCAUGAUCUCACGGUUCGUGGGUUCGAGUUCCGCAUCGGGCU